UGCGUAGGCGGUUGGUUAAGUCUGCUGUGAAAGCCCUGGGCUCAACCUGGGAACUGCAGUGGAUACUGGCCAGCUCGAGUGUGAUAGAGGAUGGUGGAAUUCCCGGUGUAGCGGUGAAAUGCGUAGAGAUCGGGAGGAACACCAGUGGCGAAGGCGGCCAUCUGGAUCAACACUGACGCUGAGGCACGAAAGCGUGGGGAGCAAACAGGAUUAGAUACCCUGGUAGUCCACGCCCUAAACGAUGCGAACUGGACGUUGGGAGCAACUUGGCUCUCAGUGUCGAAGCUAACGCGCUAAGUUCGCCGCCUGGGGAGUACGGUCGCAAGACUGAA
rnacentral:rRNA from 1 species